rnacentral:lncRNA from 1 species
AUUCCUUUACAUUUCCACUGAAACAUAAAUCCUUGUAACUGACUCAAGACCAACUUUUUUUUUUUUUUUUUUUACAUUCUGGAAUAGUUUAUUUCAUCCAACUUGCUACUCAAAGACUUUUACUGUUACACAUCAGUAUACAACAUAACACAUUUCUAAUCAUUACAGAGAACUCAGUGUCCCCUCCUGGGUCUCAUGAGCAGCGAACAGAUAAAGAGCUUGUCGAGUGGUUGCAACUGCAAGGAGCAGAUACGAGAACAAUUGAAAAGAUUCUUGAAGAGGGUUACACACUGUCUGAUAUUCUUAAUGACAUCACUAAGGAAGACCUAAGGUACCUUAGACUACACGGUGGUCUUCUCUGCAGGCUCUGGACUGCAGUCUCCCAGUACAGAAGACGGGCUCAGGGGGCCCCAGCAACCCAAGAUGAAGCUUAAUAAUCAGCCACACGGGGGAUAGCGGGAGCCCAGAGCUGACAUCUUUGUUAAAGCUUCUACUACAUACACACCAAUCCUGCUGCAAUUCCACAAGGAAAACACCACUGUUCAUUGAACAAAUUUAAGAACUUGAAGUUCUAAAGAAUUAUGGAAAAAAUGUUAAUAUUUCUCAACAUGUUUUAAAGGUGAGUGGAACUGUAUUUUGAGAACUGUGAUUGUAAAACUUGGUCUUGACAUCCCAAAGUAUUAUGGGAUUCUUUACCUUCAAACAUUUGCUGGAAAGGUGGAGCAACAGGUGUUUAACAAAAAGGCUGGGAAUCACUGUUUCAAUUAUACAUUCCAUACAUUAAUGGGAAUUGCACUUAAAAUUAGAAAAAUCAAUAAGACUAUGCCUUGUAGUUAAUAAUGUUUGAUAUGAAUGUAAAUAGAAAACUGUUAGGAAAAUAGCUUCAUAUUUAUAUUGAAUGUAUAAAUGGAGAAAACUAACUUAUUUGGCCUUUGAAACGAAGUAGUUAUAUUUAAAUAUGGAAUUGUCCUUGCACCCCUGCCAAGUUAUAAUAAAUAAUUGUGUUUUAUUAAUGAGACAUGAUGGUUCAGUGUGAACAGGCUUCAGCACUGAUGUGCACACUAACAGGGGUGUGUGCACAUUAGAGUACACUAGGUAAGCUGUUAAUAAAAAGACACUUAGUCCUUGGAAGGAAAGUUAUGACAACCUAGACAGCAUAUUAAAAAGCAGAGACAUUACUUUGCCAACAAAGGUCCGUCUAGUCAAGGCUGUGGUUUUUCCAGUAGUCAUGUAUGGAUGUGAGAGUUGGACUGUGAAGAAAGCUGAGUGCUGAAGUAUUGAUGCUUUUGAACUGUGGUGUUGGAGAAGACUCUUGAGAGUCCCUUGGACUGCAAG